rnacentral:rRNA from 1 species
GUAACGGCGAGUGAAGCGGCAACAGCUCAAAUUUGAAAUCUGGCUCUUUCAGGGUCCGAGUUGUAAUUUGUAGAAGAUGCUUCGGGUGAGGCUCCGGUCUAAGUUCCUUGGAACAGGACGCCACAGAGGGUGAGAGCCCCUUAUGUGACUGGUUGCCUUCGCCCAUGUGAAGCUCUUUCGACGAGUCGAGUUGUUUGGGAAUGCAGCUCAAAAUGGGUGGUAAAUUUCAUCUAAAGCUAAAUAUUGGCCAGAGACCGAUAGCGCACAAGUAGAGUGAUCGAAAGAUGAAAAGCACUUUGGAAAGAGAGUUAAACAGUACGUGAAAUUGUUGAAAGGGAAGCGCUUGCAACCAGACUUGCACGCGGUUGAUCAUCUGGGGUUCUCCCCAGUGCACUCUGCCGCGUUCAGGCCAGCAUCGGUUUUGGUGGUUGGAUAAAGGCCUUGGGAAUGUGGCUCCUCUCGGGGAGUGUUAUAGCCCUCGGUGCAAUGCAGCCUACCGGGACCGAGGACCGCGCUUCGGCU